rnacentral:rRNA from 1 species
UACGGAGGGUGCAAGCGUUACUCGGAAUCACUGGGCGUAAAGCGCGCGCAGGCGGCUAGAUAAGUUGGAAGUGAAAUCCUAUGGCUCAACCAUAGAACUGCUUCCAAAACUGUUUAGCUAGAGUCUGGGAGGGGAAGAUGGAAUUAGUAGUGUAGGGGUAAAAUCCGUAGAGAUUACUAGGAAUACCAAAAGCGAAGGCGAUCUUCUGGAACAGUACUGACGCUGAGGCGCGAAAGCGUGGGGAGCAAACAGGAUUAGAUACCCUGGUAGUCCACGCCCUAAACGAUGAAUGUUAAUCGUCGGGACUCUAGUAGUUUCGGUGAUGCAGUUAACACAUUAAACAUUCCGCCUGGGGAGUACGGUCGCAAGAUUAAAACUCAAAGGAAUAGACGGGGACCCGCACAAGUGGUGGAGCAUGUGGUUUAAUUCGAAGAUACGCGAAGAACCUUACCUAGCCUUGACAUAUUUUAGAACUCCGCAGAGAUGUAGAGGUGCCUUCGGGAGCUAAUAUACAGGUGCUGCACGGCUGUCGUCAGCUCGUGUCGUGAGAUGUUGGGUUAAGUCCCGCAACGAGCGCAACCCUCGUUCUUAGUUACUAACGGUUCGGCCGAGGACUCUAAGAAGACUGCCUUCGUAAGGAGGAGGAAGGUGAGGACGACGUCAAGUCAUCAUGGCCCUUGCGGCUAGGGCAACACACGUGCUACAAUGGUUAGGACAAUGAGACGCAAUACCGCGAGGUGGAGCAAAUCUAUAAACCUAAUCUCAGUUCGGAUUGUAGUCUGCAACUCGACUGCAUGAAGCUGGAAUCACUAGUAAUCGUAGAUCAGCUAUGCUACG